GGUUGUUCGGGCACCAGGUGAGCAGAGUGCAGUAUAUUCAGUCACUCCGCUGUCUCGGGAAGGGCCGGAGAAACAGGUGCAUCGGUCAGAAAUGCGUAAGGCAUUUUAUGAACCUGGAGCGGAAGAUGUGGGCCCUCCUGCUCUUAGUGAAGUGUUUAACGGAGGGGCUGGUACUGACUCUGCAUUGGAGAGGGAUUCUGCCUCUGAUAGUGAGUCUGUGUCGAUUGUAGUAUUGCAUAAUGAUGAUGAGGUUGUCCCUUUAAGUGCUGGUGGUGAGGACCACUCAGAGUGUUUGCUUGUCUCUGGGGAGCAGCCGUUGAGCUUGGGGCGUCCAAAGAGAAGUACAGCAGGUCAACAUUCAAACCCUUAUAGAUUACCAAGAUCUGUGGCUGCAGUUAGUGAAGAUUCAGCUUAAAGAAUAAAUUUGUUAUUUUGGGAAUUUAUUGUUAUCGUCGGGUCGCCGAUUCAUUUGGGGGGGAUAGAAUGUAGCCAGGCAAGGCCUACCAGUACGGGGGUGUGGUUGGCUAAUUAGUCCAAGACUUUUUAAGCAGGCACUGGGCAAGAGGCCUUGAAAUGUGGGCCUUGUUUUGAAAGCACAUGGGAUGGUGCUGCUUUGUUUGGCUAUGUGGUGAAUUUGCCCCAGAUGAGGUAGGCCAAGUUUAUUAUUUUUGUUUUGGUUGAAUUGUUUAUUUAAGGGGAUUUAUUUUGAUUGUAUGGGAAAAUUCUGUUUGUUUAUUUAGAUGCAGAUGAAUUGAGUAAUGCUAACUGGGUGUUUUUGACACUCUGAUCUGGAUAAAUGUUCAAAAAACCAACUGAUUGUUAUAUCUGCUAUUUGCCAAUGAAGGUAAAUGUAUUUAAUAUUUUUAAAUAAAAAUGAGUGUACAGUUGGUAACCAUGGUUUUAAAUGUUUAGUGUUUUUGUAGUGUUUUAGAUGUGGAUAAAACCUGGAAUGCUGAUUGGCUGCUUUUUGGGUAGCUGAUAAAGGUAAAGUUGUGUUUUUGGUAUCCUACUUUUAAGCUAAUAAAUGAAAUGGGGCAGUUGGUAACUGUGUUUAAGAAAAUGUUAAUGUUUGAAUAAAAUAAAUGAUGUAUUGUUAAUUUUUGUUUGUUUUUCUGUUUUAGUUAAGUCGAUUGCUGUUUCUCCCGUGUUGUUUUUGUUUAGUUCCCUGGUCGGCCGGUCUCAGAAGUGUGCUGCAUGGUGGCAGCAAGUGUACAUUGUGAACUGGUUGUGUACGAGUCCGGUUGGCUGGGGUUCUGUUAUCUUUUUCUUUUGUUUCUUUUUUUUAUUGAUGACCAUCUUCCCAGCCUUAUGUCAUUAGCUCGACUCAUUGUGAUUGUGAUUGUGUUCUGUGUGUGCAUCCCUUUGGGGUAUGAGAUCCAUGUUUGCUGUGGUUGUUUUGAGUUAUGAGUGAAGGGUUAGGUUUGGAGUUGUUUUCUAUUUUGAAUUGUGGUGUUUAUUUCCAUUGAUUUCUCUUUUUUUUCCUUUUUACUGUCAUUAAAAAAUGGAUGUUUCCUUAUACCUUAAAGGUUUGCCACACGCACCGUAACCAGCUACUAUGGAGAGUUUUUGAGCUGGUGGUUAACAUCUUUGAGAGCUGAGAUUAAUUUUGAAUGAGUUAUGUAAAUAAAUCAUUUCAUUUCUAUGUUUAAUUGUGUACAUUAUUUGUGCUUUAUUGUUUGUAAUAAACCUUUUUUGUUGUACUUUGA